rnacentral:tRNA from 2 species
GGCUAUGUAGCUCAGUUGGUUAGAGCACCGCACUCAUAAUGCGGGGGUCACAAGUUAAAGUCUCGUCAUAGCCACCA